GGGCCGAUAACUCAGUGGUAGAGUGUAGGUUUGCAGCCCAUCAAAGCCGUCUGCCCGAAGUCACCGGUUCGACUCCGGUUCGGCCCU